rnacentral:lncRNA from 1 species
GAAAAAUAAAACUUCCAUCAAAGACGUGAAAAUUCGUGUUUUAUUAUCAUUUUUAUCCCCUAUCUUAUCAUCCCGUCCAUUAAAAAAAAUGAAAAUGGAGUUUUUUUUGAAACAUCAAAAAAAGUGAUUUCUUUUUUGUCAUUUAUAUGAACAAACUUUUAUAAUUAUUAGGAAUUCAACGGGAUCUUUUCCCCCGAAUCAGAAAAAAAU